AGAGAGUAAGGAGUCAAGGAUGACACCCAGGUUUUGAGCCUAGAUAACUGGGAGGAUAGUGAUGCCAUCAAGAGUAACAGCAAAAUUUAGAAGAGAGGAGUGUUUAGGGGGAAAACUAUUUAUUUCAGUUUUAAACAUGUUGAGUUUAAGAUGUCUAUGGGAUAUCUACUUCAAAAUGUCCAAAAGGUGAUUGGAAUUAUGAGUCUAGAGUUCAGGAGAGAGGUAGAGCUGGAUAAGUAGAUCUGAGAAUUACCAACAUAGAGAUGCUAAUUUAAUCCAUCAGGGCUGAUGAGAGCACCAAGUGAAGUAGAACAGAGGGAGAAUAGAAGAGUACAAAGCCUUGAAGAACAUUCAUGGUUAUGGGGCAUAAUCUUGAUGAAGAACCAGCAAAAAGAAUUAAGAAGAUAGGAAGAGAGUAGUGUCCAGAAAACCUAGAGAGAUAAGUGUCUCUCAAAUGUCUUUGACAGUGUCAAAGGCUACAGAGAGGUCAAGAAGAAGUGACCUUGAGGAAAGGCCACUAGAUUUGGCAAUUAAGUGAUCAAUAAUUUUGGAGAGAACAGUUUCUGUUGAACGACGACAAUGAAAGCCAGACAGUUGAAAGUUAAGAAAAGAGUGAGAGAAAAGGAAGCGGAGGCAUCCACUUAGAUGACCUUCUCAGGACUGGCCACAAAAGGAAGGAAAGAUAUGGGACAAAAGGUAGUGGGGCUUGCCAGACCAAGUGGAGUUUUUUGAGGAUGAGGAAGAUAUGGACAUGUUUAUGCACAAUAGGGAAACAGCCAAUAAACAGGGAGAGAUUGAAACUAAGUGAGAGAAUAGGGAUAAUAGAGGGCACAAUCUGCUGGAGAAGACAAGAUGGAAUGGGAUUAUUUGUGUACAUAGAGGGGUUUGCCUUGGCAUAUGAGACUGGGGUGAUGGAAAAGAUUGUAGCAGAAGGCAUCUAGGUGACACGAGAUGAGGAGGAAAAGAGAUGAAGGACCUCUGAGUGUCAAACUUUGGAGGAACAGUGGGAGAAGAGGUGCCAUUGAAGCAGCAGACACAGUGCCCUAAAAACUAAAAGCUUUUUAAAGAAACAAAUUUUAAUUGAAGAGUUGUUUUUCCAGUACCUUGUGAGGCCCCUCCUGAACUUGAGAGCAUCCUAGAGUCUCUUUUCCUUAUCUUGAGACACCCUAAAACUUCCCCCUUAUCCUAGGCCAUAAAACUUCCUUGUCUCCCUCAUCCUGAGUCAUGAAAUUUCCCAUCUUCCUUAUCCUGAGUCCCCUUUCCUGUCAUCCAUCUUCCUCAUCCUGUAUCAUGACAACCCCUCCCCUUAUCUUGUAAGAUAAAACAGACCCCUAUCCCUUGGUAAGUUGCUAGUCCUCUUUCCAGAGCUAGCCCACUGCUUUUGCGUCAAUAAAGCUCCCAAUGAUUACAGAGAAGGUCUAAGUGAACUCUUUCACACCUGAACCAGCUCUCCCAACUCUAGAUCUCAACAUAAAAUGGUGCCGAAACCUGGGAGUCCAAAUAUUAAUCGGAUUCUGCUGAUCUUCUCCUGGCCACUGGGAUAACAGAAGUUCCACUUUCAACUCUUGAGAUACCAGCCCCUACCCUUGGUGUCCCCGAGUGGUUCGCCUCUCUCCACGCUGGACUCAGCUUGCACUGCAUCCCACACCUUCACACUGAACUCCGCUCCUCAACCUAUUCCCAGCCCUUGAAAUGGACUCUUUGCCCCUGUACAGCAGGAAGCAGCUACUGAAGAUAAUGACCUUCGCCCCUAGUGUUUGAGUUUCUCCUGCCUGGUGUUUGAGUGGGGAAUGAAGCAGAAGACAUACAGUACCCUAAAAACUAAAAGCUUUUUAAGGAAACAAAUUUUAAUUGAGUUGUUUUUCCAGCACCUUAUGAGGCCCCUCCUGAACUUGAGGGCAUCCUAGAGUCUCUUUUCCUUAUCUUGAGACACCCUAAAACUUCCCCCUUAUCCUAGACCAUAAAACUUCCUUGUCUCCCUCAUCCUGAGUCAUGAAAUUUCCCAUCUUCCUUAUCCUGAGUCCCCUUUCCUGUCAUCCAUCUUCCUCAUCCUGUAUCAUGACAACCCCUCCCCUUAUCUUGUAAGAUAAAACAGACCCCUAUCCCUUGGUAAGUUGCUAGUCCUCUUUCCAGAGCUAGCCCACUGCUUUUGCGUCAAUAAAGCUCCCAAUGAUUACA